GGUUAAGCGACUAAGCGUACACGGUGGAUGCCCUGGCAGUCAGAGGCGAUGAAGGACGUGCUAAUCUGCGAUAAGCGUCGGUAAGGUGAUAUGAACCGUUAUAACCGGCGAUUUCCGAAUGGGGAAACCCAGUGUGAUUCGUCACACUAUCAUUAACUGAAUCCAUAGGUUAAUGAGGCGAACCGGGGGAACUGAAACAUCUAAGUACCCCGAGGAAAAGAAAUCAACCGAGAUUCCCCCAGUAGCGGCGAGCGAACGGGGAGCAGCCCAGAGCCUGAAUCAGUGUGUGUGUUAGUGGAAGCGUCUGGAAAGGCGUGCGAUACAGGGUGACAGCCCCGUACACAAAAAUGCACAUGCUGUGAGCUCGAUGAGUAGGGCGGGACACGUGGUAUCCUGUCUGAAUAUGGGGGGACCAUCCUCCAAGGCUAAAUACUCCUGACUGACCGAUAGUGAACCAGUACCGUGAGGGAAAGGCGAAAAGAACCCCGGCGAGGGGAGUGAAAAAGAACCUGAAACCGUGUACGUACAAGCAGUGGGAGCAC
rnacentral:rRNA from 1 species